CAUAUGUACAUAUGUAUGUACCUUCAAAAUCGAAUAUAACGAGUUUCGCCUUUCAAGGUUAUUUCAUAAGAUUGGGUGGUCGAUAAAAUCUUUUCGUAUUUUGUCAAUAGAUGUACUUGCAGUCGUAUAUCUCCAGUGCUACCAAUCACAUUGUGUUAUACCAUAUAGUGUUGGAAAGGGAGAUUUUAAGCUUCAUUUAUCAAAAAUAAUACUAUGUUCAGACCGAAAAUUUCAAAGAUUAGAUUACAUUUAAGCAUUUCAUAAUCCAACAGUGUUCCCACUGCCGUUAGAAAGAUCAAAAAACAGCUGUUAUUGUCAUUCAUGAAUUCACAUCGCUUAAUAUUUACCAAAAGAAAAGAUUUUCAUAUAGUAUUUUGAAAUAAAAGCCGUCUUUUUUAAUAUUUUCCAUAUAAUAGAAAUAAUGGAUGCAUUUUUUUCAUUUGCUUGGUCGAUUUUCAGGUGAAAUUAGAUUCAUUGCUUUAAAAAAAAUUUGUUUGUUUACAUUUUUUUCCCUUUGUAGUGUCUAAAUCAGCUGUGAUAAUGUCCCUGCAAGACGGAGGUAACAGAUUGCACAAACACAUUGAAACAUUUUCAGCUGUUCACUAACACUGUUACAUUUUCUGGAAUUUUCAAUGGAAUGGGAGAAUACGUAAGUAAGAUAGAGAAAAACUAUCGACAUUAUAAACAUAUUGUAAUGUUAACUUGUUAGAAUAGGAGAGGCGAAUACCCAAUAUUUCAAGAAGAAUAAACGAAAAGCGCAGUUUAUUUUGGAUUUUAAAGAGAGAAAAUGAAAGAGGUUAACAAGGAGAAAAAGAAAUCAUUUGGACCAUUGGCAAAAUUCAAAUCUAUUGCGUGCAGCAACCAAAUAAUGGAGUAUGUUUUAAAUUAUUAACUUAAAUAGUGUAUAUUUAAUUGAAAUAUUUGUUAUAGAUUGUGCAUUUUAUUUUGAUUUUAUUAUUAAAUAAAGAGAAAUAAUAAAAAAACUGAGUUUUAUUUAAAAGAAUUUAAUUUGCUAGAAGUAACAAAUGGGUAACAGAUAAUCUUGUUACUGCUUGUUCUUCCUAACAUGCUUAUAUGUUAAAGGUAACAAACUGAUAACCAAAAUAAUAACACUAACAGAUAUUCGGGUAACAAAUACUUUUUGUUAUCCAUAACACAUGGGUAAGCUAAGCGCUAACAAAAUAAUUUG